CUGCCAUCUCCUACCUGCUAAACAGCUUUCCUUACAUUUACCAGAUUCGAGGGUGUCCUUUCCAGGAAUGAAGAAAAGGACUGUUUGCUGCACGAUCUCUUGAUAUCACGGAACAAUUCUUCCAACACUACAAAGUGAAAUCUCAUAAAGAAAUGGGUACCCGAAGCCACAGUUUCUUACCUUCUAUUUGGUUGUGCACACUGUGACCACCAUUUCAUUUUAACCAGGUUUAACGCAAAGCUUCUUUGAAGAUGUUCCCAUUUCCACCAACUCACUUCAACCUCAAUGCCCUGGCAUUACCCUACACUGGGGAAACAAGUCUUCAC
ensembl:lncRNA